rnacentral:rRNA from 1 species
AGAGUUUGAUCCUGGCUCAGAGCGAACGCUGGCGGCAGGCCUAAAACAUGCAAGUCGAACGCCGUAGCAAUACGGAGUGGCAGACGGGUGAGUAACACGUGGGAACGUGCCCUUUGGUUCGGAACAACACAGGGAAACUUGUGCUAAUACCGAAUAAGCCCUUACGGGGAAAGAUUUAUCGCCAAAGGAUCGGCCCGCGUCUGAUUAGCUAGUUGGUGGGGUAACGGCCCACCAAGGCUACGAUCAGUAGCUGGUCUGAGAGGAUGAUCAGCCACACUGGGACUGAGACACGGCCCAGACUCCUACGGGAGGCAGCAGUUAGGAAUCUUGGACAAUGGGCGCAAGCCUGAUCCAGCCAUGCCGCGUGAGUGAUGAAGGCCUUAGGGUUGUAAAGCUCUUUCAGCGGGGAAGAUAAUGACGGUACCCGCAGAAGAAGCCCCGGCUAACUUCGUGCCAGCCGCCGCGGUAAUAC